rnacentral:rRNA from 1 species
UCACCAAGACUGCGAUCAGUAGCCGGACUGAGAGGUGGAACGGCCACAUUGGGACUGAGAUACGGCCCAGACUCCUACGGGAGGCAGCAGUGGGGAAUAUUGGGCAAUGGGCGAAAGCCUGACCCAGCAACGCCGCGUGAAGGAAGAAGGCCUUCGGGUUGUAAACUUCUUUUAAGAGGGACGAAGAAGUGACGGUACCUCUUGAAUAAGCCACGGCUAACUACGUGCCAGCAGCCGCGGUAAUACGUAGGUGGCGAGCGUUAUCCGGAUUUACUGGGUGUAAAGGGCGCGUAGGCGGGAAUGCAAGUCAGAUGUGAAAUCCAGGGGCUUAACCCUUGAACUGCAUUUGAAACUGUAUUUCUUGAGUGUCGGAGAGGUUGACGGAAUUCCUAGUGUAGCGGUGAAAUGCGUAGAUAUUAGGAGGAACACCAGUGGCGAAGGCGGUCAACUGGACGAUAACUGACGCUGAGGCGCGAAAGCGUGGGGAGCAAACAGGAUUAGAUACCCUGGUAGUCCACGCCGUAAACGAUG